rnacentral:sRNA from 11 species
AUGCACUCCAUUCCGGUUCCUCCGCGAUGUCCGCGCCCACCUGACAACCGCUCGCUCCGUUUUGUCGGCC